GAGAACCUCUUGGACCUCAGCUCUUUUGUGAGAAGCAGUGCUGUAUAGCCAGAGAGCCUCUUCGCCAGUUGGCUGCAGAGAGGAACAGGAUCUUCUGUUCUCUUCUUCAUCCAGGGAGGAAUAGCUGUGGGGCCUGGUUUGAUGAUGCCAAUAGUUCUCUCUCCAUCCGCACUCUCAUUUCCAAAAGUGGUGGAACAGAAUCUUCUUGUACCUCUCCUCUGAUGGGGAGAGAGAGAGACUGGAAAAGGAAAGGCUUUCAAGAGGGAUCACAUUUUCACUGACAGGAAUGCUUUGCUGUCUGACUAAUAAAAGCCCUCUAUACAAGCCUUCAGGCUUUAGCUCAGACUGUCUUUUUCACUUGUGCAAUAAGGCAUACUUUAAAUGCAAAACAUAGUAUUUUAUUGUUGCUCUUUUCGGUACUUUCAAUGUACUUAAAGGCUGCAUGUGCCUGAAUCCUUACCACAGCUGGCCUUGAUGAGUAAGAGUUGGAGGCACUGGAGUAAAACCAAUGUCAUACUUGCAGCGUAUAUUUAUGUACAUAGUUUGAAAGAUGAUGAUAUAUCUGCAGCUGCUACACUUUCUUUUUUAAUGAUAAAAAUCUGCAUAGGCUGAAGGAUAGGCUGGCUAAGUUCACUCAGGCAAAGACUAUUAAGGGCAGAGAUGACAUCAGGAAGUCACUACAUCACUAUUUGGUUGGAUGCUGGGAAAGCGCUCACGGAAAGUAUUGUUAUACCCUUGUAUUGUAUUAUUAUACACUUACUCUUUCCAGAAGUUGGCCAAUCUUUGAGAAAGAGGAUACUUGUCCUGAUGAUCCUUUACUCUGUGCCUGCACUUUUUUGUCUCCAGAACCAAAAUAGAAGCAUCGUGUACAUCAACAAGAAACCGUUCUGAUUGUAUAACUAAUGGAGAAAUCUGUCUGGUCAGAUGGCUGAUUUUUGUUUUCAUUUUAUUAUAAUACAUUUUGUUUUUUAAGGCUACAGCUUGACUUUGUUUUAGAAAGUCUAAUAGAAAAUAUUAUGAGUCUGGGAACUGCAAGGGAAUGCUUUUAUUAUGGCAUGUUUUAAAAAGUGGAUGAAUAAACACUGUUACAG
ensembl:lncRNA